CAACCUCAACUCAUAUGGGACUACCCCCUGAAUUUAAGCAUAUUAAUUAGGGGAGGAAAAGAAACUAACAAGGAUUUUCUUAGUAGCGGCGAGCGAAAAGAAAUCAGUUCAGCACUAAGUCACUUUGUCUAUAUGGCAAAUGUGAGAUGCAGUGUACGGAACAUCAACAUUCUAGUAUGAGAAGUUAACGAUUUAAGUCCUUCUUAAAUGAGGCCAUUUACCCAUAGAGGGUGCCAGGCCCGUAUAACGUUAAUGAUUACUAGAUGGUGUUUCCAAAGAGUCGUGUUGCUUGAUAGUGCAGCACUAAGUGGGUGGUAAACUCCAUCUAAAACUAAAUAUAACCAUGAGACCGAUAGUAAACAAGUACCGUGAGGGAAAGUUGAAAAGAACUCUGAAUAGAGAGUUAAAUAGUACGUGAAACUGCUUAGAGGUUAAGCCCGAUGAACCUGAAUAUCCGUUAUGGAAAAUUCAUCAUUAGAAUUGUAAUAUUUUAAACAAUAUUAUAAUAAUAGUGUGCAUUUUUUCCAUAUAAGGACAUUGUAAUCUAUUAGCAUAAAUAUUUAUCAUAAAAUUAUGUCUGAUUGCUUUAUUGAAUAUAUGCUUGGCAUUUAACAUAAAAUAAAAGAUAUAAAUUUGAUAAGUGCUGAUAGAUUUAUAUGAUUACAGCGCGUUAAUUUUUCGGAAUUAUAUAAUGGCAUAAUUAUCAUUGAUAUUUGUGUUUAUGAUAUGCAUUUGUAUGAUUUACAAUGCGAAAGAUUCAGGAUACCUUCGGGA
rnacentral:ncRNA from 1 species